rnacentral:rRNA from 1 species
UACGUAGGGGGGCAAGCGUUGUCCGGAUUUAUUGGGCGUAAAGAGCGUGUAGGCGGCCAAGCAGGUCCGCUGUGAAAACUCGAGGCUCAACCUCGAGACGUCGGUGGAAACCGUUUGGCUAGAGUCCGGAAGAGGAGAGUGGAAUUCCCGGUGUGAGCGGUGGAAAUGCGCAGAUAUCGGGAAGAACACCCGUGGCGAAGGCGGCUCUCUGGGACGGUACUGACGCUGAGACGCGAAGCGUGGGAGCGAACAGG